rnacentral:rRNA from 1 species
UACGUAGGGGGCAAGCGUUGUCCGGAUUUAUUGGGCGUAAAGAGCGUGUAGGCGGCCAGAUAGGUCCGUUGUGAAAACUGGAGGCUUAACCUCCAGCUGUCGAUGGAAACCAUCUGGCUAGAGUCCGGAAGAGGAGAGUGGAAUUCCUGGUGUAGCGGUGAAGUGCGCAGAUAUCAGGAAGAACACCCGUGGCGAAGGCGGCUCUCUGGGACGGUACUGACGCUGAGACGCGAAAGCGUGGGGAGCGAACAGG